rnacentral:rRNA from 1 species
UACGUAGGGACCAAGCGUUGUCCGGAAUCAUUGGGCGUAAAGAGCGUGUAGGCGGCCUGUUAAGUCUUGCGUGAAAUCUCGGGGCUCAACCCUCGAGCGGUCGUGAGAAACUGGCAGGCUAGAGUGCGGGAGAGGAGAGUGGAAUUUCGUGUGUAGGGGUGAAAUCCGUAGAUCUACGAAGGAACGCCAAAAGCGAAGGCAGCUCUCUGGGUCCCUACCGACGCUGGGGUGCGAAAGCAUGGGGAGCGAACAGG